ACACUUUUACUUGAUCUACUUUUAGAGAAAUUUUUUUCCUUAAAAAAUAACCCCUUUUCUAUAUAUUUUUAUUUUUUAGCAAAAUGAGAUUAUAUAGUAUAACUUUCACAGUUAAAUACUAUAUUUAGUAUAUCAAUUUUUCAGUGAUGUGUUGUAGUAAUUUUGUUUUAAGAUAAUCGUUUAGUUUUAUAAAUAAUGUAUUGUAGUGGUACAUUGUUAAAAAAUGGUAUAUUUUUAAUAUUUUUAAAGUUAUAGAUGGUUGAAUAAAUUAAUAAAUAAAUAUAAAUCUAUUUAAAAUAUUUUAUUUUAGAGUAGAAAAUAUAAAUAAGCACUGAAACAAAAUUCUCUUUUAUUUUUUAGAAUAAUCUAAAAAUAAAAAUAUGAAUUUACUAAUUGUAUUUCUUUAUGGGUUUUGGGGUGGACCUCAGUACUAGUGAAUAUGGCAAAUCAUAAAUUUUAAUUUACGUUUUACCGCAAUUAAUAAUAAAAAAAUCUCUACAUAUAUCUUUUCUUUGCAAGUGAGAGGCUGUCUCGAUUCCCAAGACAGAUGACCCAAUAACUUCGCCGCCCGAAAACCACCGCGGUAAUGAAACACUUUUCUUCUUCUUCUCUCUCUCCAGUCUCCACCCAUAACUCGUUUAACCUAAAACUCGGAAAGUCUUGGCUCAUUUUUCUCUCUGGCGACUAAUUCAUCUGCUGUGAGCUCUGAUUCAUCUGCAGCAGCUCCCAAUCGACUUGUUUUCUGCCAGUAUGGUUUCGAAAUCGAAGAAUGCGGAAACGUCCGCGGGGAAGAUCGACAACCAAAGCCGCCAAACAGUCCGGCCUCCGAAAACUCAGCGGUACCCAGUUUUCGAGUCCGACAACGAUAAAAUGGGCUUCUUGAUCGACUCGACCGCACCGGGAUCUCCAUCAGUAGAGGCCGUAGGUGUGGAGGUCGGUUCUUCGUAAAAAUUGCCUACAAGACUGUUUGCUUCACAAAAAAACAAUUACGCCCUAAAUAUUUCUUCUUAUUUACAAUAGUGCCAUUAUCAUCUAUUUUCUAACCACUAUGAACUACCAUUUUUGAGCUCUAAAAGCUCAAGAAUUAAAAUUCUAACCACUUUUUCUCUCUCUCUUUCUAAACCAACAAAUCUUCAUUUCCUCGUCAUUUUCAUCUAAAAAACUCGCAUCAUUUUUAUUUUCAUAAGCAAAACUUUCAUAUUUUCGAGUUUAGUCAGUUGUGAAUCGUCAAAAGUGUCUUUUCACAUAUCCGGAGCUUGGACGGUGGAAAAGGAUGGAAACGAGCUUUACACCAGAAAAUGUAACUAUUUACAUGAUUUUCGUCAUUUUUCAGAUAUAUAUCGCGAUUGUAGACUGUUUUGUAUGUCUAUGCAUAUGUGUAGACUUACGAUGCAAUAUACUUGUCAACUCACAGGUUAAUUUUGUAAUUGACCAAAAUAAUAUUUUUUUGUAAAGAAUUUCCUUAAAAGUC